CGGGGAGGGGGCCAUGCAAAAAGGUAAGACCAGGUUAGCGCUGCUCGGCCCUGAGUGGGCUGCGGCCGGGGGAGGGGCGAGAGAUACAUAUGUAUUUCUGUCUCCCCAGCACACCCCCUUCCCUCUAAGCGAUGGCUGAGAGGCGGUGCAUGCAGAUGGGGAGUAAGUUUCCUGGAGGGGAGGAGGGUGGAUGCACGCGCGCAGCCCGGCGCUGCAAAUUUCCACCGGGGAGGGAGAGAGUGGCUGGAUGCGGAGAGUUUGGAGUUGGAGGGCAAGGAAGGGAGCAGGGCCUGGGGGAGGGGGGAAAGAGGGGUGCUAUUGGUGCUGUAUCUGGGAGUAAGUUUCCAAGGACGAGAGAGCCUGCACGCUUGCUUGCUAGCUACUCGGCUCGCCCCCCAUCUCACCCCCCCAAGUGGAGAUUGGUCGUCUUGUCGGAUUGCCCAGGCACUUGUUGCCGAAACAGCCAAGGCUCCAGCUCCAGAGGGCAGUGA
rnacentral:lncRNA from 1 species